GACGAACGCUGGCGGCGUGCUUAACACAUGCAAGUCGAACGGGCCCGCCCCUGUUUUUGGGGGUGGGUUGAGUGGCGAACGGGUGAGUAUCACGUGAGUAACCUGCCCCCUGCUCCUGGAUAACUGCUUGAAAGGGCGGCUAAUACGGGGUGUGCCGGCUGGUCCGCAUGGGCCUGGUCGGGAUAGUUUCAUCUUCGGGUGUUUCGGUGGGGGAUGGGCUCGCGGCCUAUCAGCUUGUUGGUGGGGUGAUGGCCCACCAAGGCGGUGACGGGUAGCCGGCCUGAGAGGGUGGGCGGCCACACUGGGACUGGGACACGGCCCAGACUCCUGAGGGAGGCAGCAGUGGGGGGUAUUGCACAAUGGGCGGAAGCCUGAUGCAGCGACGUCGCGUGAGGGAUGGAGGCCUUCGGGUUGUGAACCUCUUUCUCCGGUGGUGAAGGCCCUGUCCGUUGCGGCGGGGUUGACGGUAGCCGGGUAUGAAGCGCCGGCUAACUACGUG
rnacentral:rRNA from 1 species